rnacentral:rRNA from 1 species
UACGAAGGGGGGCUAGCGUUGUUCGGAAUUACUGGGCGUAAAGCGCGCGCAGGCGGCUAUCCAAGUCAGUGGUGAAAGCCCGGAGCUCAACUCCGGAACUGCCAUUGAAACUGUUUAGCUUGAGGACGAGAGAGGUGAGUGGAAUUCCCAGUGUAGAGGUGAAAUUCGUAGAUAUUGGGAAGAACACCGGUGGCGAAGGCGGCUCACUGGCUCGUAUCUGACGCUCAGGCGCGACAGCGUGGGGAGCGAACAGG